ACUAGCAGAUAAAAUGACAGCUGCUACUUGAUACUCGUAAAUGAUUAGUAUCACUUACUUACUCUUUGAAUGUACGCAGUUUCGAGCAGCAAGAGGAGGGAUUCAAGAAACUGGAGAAACCGUUUCACUGGGGGCAUUCCUGGAAGACAUACGGCGGGACGAAUAACUUAAAUUCCAGUUUCAGGUAUAGAAUGAAAAACAACGACAAAUGUCACGAUAUUUAACUUCGGCGGAGAAAGGCUUGGACUUUAUCCGAUAUCGGCGUGGGAAGACUGGUUUUUGAGCUCUUUCGACUCUCACAUCGCCUUUAGGAAUAGGCUAACGGAAAGCAGUAGUUUCAGGACGAAACCGGUGAAUUUCUACAUGGAUGGGUCGAAGCUUGACGAAAGUAUCGGUGAAUGGUUCUUUAAUGCAGGCCGCUGGCAUCAGGCAGAGCUAGCAUUAAUGAAGCGGACGAAUGUCUGUUAAAUUGCUCGAAUUUGGGGAGGGAAUUUUCACCGGUCAGUCUCAUUUAGGUACCAGGCCAUAUUGAUAUUGCAGGAGAUCGUUGGCCAGGAAAGCAAAUUAAAUAUUCUAGAAACCAAUACAGGCGUAUCAAAUCAAUGCAUCGUCGAAAAACAAACAGCUGGAACGCGUCAGCGAAUUCAAUUAACAAACCAAAAUGAAGAAUGCCCGCUGAAGACAUAGCAAAGACCAUUCGUUAUGAUUUCAACGACUUUUCCAUAAGUAAAUACUUAAUUUCAUUUUGUUUCUCAGUUGGAUGAAAGGCGGAAAAGGCGGUGAAGGUAAUCAGCGAUGGCGAUUGUGAUUUAGAAAGGUGGGAGGGACCGCUGCGGUGCGUAAGUGAACAUUUUUAGAAGUAACAAAAAGACAACAGAACUGCAUGAAAAAGGCCGGAAAUUCGGUGCAGUGAACGGGAGCAAAAUAUUAUAAUUAAAUAAUAAUUGAACUUUUAAUUCCAAAACUAUGAUUUAAAAAUGAUAAGCGUAGUAGUAUGCGCUCAAAAAUAUGUGCAUGGGUUCUAGCUAUGUAGAGAUGCAUACAUAUGAAUAUGUAUUUUAUUUAUAUAAGUUGUGAUUGGCCGAUGCAUUAAAAAAGGUUUAACUAUGAAAUUCCUAUAUUAUGUAUUUCGUUUAUUUACAACUAUAUCUAU